UUUCCGUAUGUGAACCUGCGGAAGGAUCAUUAACACGUUCCAUAGCCUAUUAACCAACUUGUGAACUUGUAUCCGGCUGAAUAUGUAUAUAUAUGUUUAUAUAUAUAUCAUUUCAGCCCCAACUCCAUAAGUCAUAUGGAGCUAUCAUAUUGUUUGGAAACAGAUGUAUUCCGUCUUUAUGAUUAGUUUCUCCAUAUAAUUUUAUGGUAUUUUUAUUCACGCCCUAGUUUUCAUUCUCUAACAGGAAUGAAUCAACUAAUUGAUCAAUAUCAACCUUUGCUCAUCUAUAGAUUUCAAGUGUCGAUCAGCUAGUUAAUAUUUUAUAUGUUUACGAGCCCGACUGCUAUAUAUGAUGCCAAAAUAUACAUAAAAUAAGAGAACAACUCUUAGCAAUGGAUAUCUUGGUUCUC
rnacentral:misc_RNA from 1 species